UCCCCUUGUCUAGAUCGUUGAUAAAGAUUUUAGAUUAGAUUAGUAUUAACAGAAUAGUUCAAGGCCUUGUCAUCAGUUUGUAACACCUUACAGAUCUCAAAGGUGGGGAAAAAUCUUUGGUCAUUCUUUUCCAGUCAGUAAUUGUUAUCCAUGGGCGUUCACUUGACUGCAUUUAAUGAUGUUAUAAAACAGACUUGUUCAAAACAACUUAUAACCUUAUUGUAAGGUUUACUUACAGCCUUUCUUACCAGCCUUUCUCUUAAAUUUAUGAAGUAUUGCAGUGCUAUACCGGACAUUGGCUUCCUUCGUCUCAAGUCCAAGACCCAAACUUUUGUAUACAAAAAGUAGUAUGCAGGAAAGGUCAAGAACUGCUAGCUGUGAGGCACCACAAACAAAGGAUAACUAGUUCCUCCAUAGCUCUAUAAUGCAAGAAGAUUGGAUCUUACGAACAGUUGUUUCCCUGUGUUUUUAUUAUUUAAUGUCUUAUAUAAUGCUGAUUCAGCCUUCAGUGUUGGUCUACAUCUGCAAAUUAUGGUGCGAAUGAUACAGACUUUAAAUUCUCCCUCUCAAACCCUACUCUAAAAUACCCACUGCCUGGAGGACAAAUGCUGGACCCUUGUUAUGGAAGGUUUAAAAAGCAUGUGUGGGGGAAAUGAGCCUUGGAGAGUAUUGCCUGUAGAGUGUGGUACUUUAAAUGUAAACAUACUUCACAGAACAGAUAGCAAGGGUGAUGUCUAUCACUUUGUAAGCCUUUGCUUCAUAGUCCCCUCUCCUCCAUAAACAGAAAACCAUAAUCAAGAUGUAUGUAUAAUCAGGGAGCCUGAAAACAAACCACUUUUUUCUUUCAGUGGAAGCUGAUAAUAUGAGGGAUUUAGUAUUGCACAUACUCUUAUCAGACUUCAUCUCUGACUGGCUGCCAGCCUCUACAUGGCAUUCAGCAGUCCAUCUGUUUGCUGUCUGAAAGAUGGAAGGAUGAAAUAGUGAAGACAGAAGAUCACUGGAAACAGUCUUUAAAAUACUGCCUGGAGCAACAGGCAUGUUUAAGUAUGUGAAAGCUGAUGUACAGAGGGAUGGGCUUAGAAAUACUGUAGUCACUAAAGAAAGAAUGAAAGCAUUUAAUGAAGGUAUACAUCUGUUGCAAAGGAAGUUAAUUCUUCCCUUUCUAAAAAAAGCACAGCUUCAAUGCUGUAUUGAGAGGCUGUGCAAAUGAGACAUUGAUAUGUUGUCAUUGGGAGCUUAAAGCAUAACUUUUUUUUUCUUUAGAGAAAGAAAAAGAAGAUCAAGAAAAGCAGCAGAGGGAAGAGCAAGAAAAAACUGUAGAACACACUUCUAUAAAGGAAGCCGACAAAACCAGCCGUUCAGGACGACGUCCGACUCGAAGUGCCUUGUCCAGUCGUAAUGAUCGAAGAUCAGCCAAAAGUCCUCAAAAGACAGAUGCACCAAAGGAGAAUAAACAUCCAUUUGCUCUGUAUGGGUGGGGAGAAAGACAGACAGAUACUGGAAGCCAGAAAACUCACAAUGUCUGUGCUUCUGCUUCAGCGAGUGAAAUUCAUGAAUCUGCUCUGCGAGCAAAGAACAGGAGACAAGUGGAGAAAAGGAAGCUUUCUCAGAGGCGAGUGCGAUCAGCAGAAGCAGAGAAAACUUGGCGAAUAAAGCCCUCCCCACCAGAUAACCCUUGGAUGACAGAGUAUAUGAGAUGCUACUCAGCAAGAGCUCGGUGAAUUUGGAUUUCCUUAGGCAUCUUCAAAAGAAGUUACGCAUAUCAGGACACUGGUGCAAGGAACCAAACUACUUAUGCAAGGUUUUUAUAGGGAGUUUCCAGCUGUUAAGAUAUUUGUUAUGAUAUUUUUAUCUUGGCUACCUACCUCACAGUGGGGUGUAUUGUUGGAGCCAUAACACUUGAAGAGGCUUUUAGAUAUAGCUACCCAAACUUUUAAACAAUUUCUCUUUUGGGAAUUUUUCUAAUGCUUCAGUUGACUUGUUUUGGGGGGAGGAGGGGGGAACCUUAGCAUACAGGGAGUCAAAGCAAACACUUUUUUGAACUUGGUUACAAAUAAUCUGUUGUCCCAUAUUUUAAAAAUCCAAGUGAUGGGGAGGUGGUGUUGGGGAAAGACUUUAAAGGUGUGAUGGAGGUGCCUUUGCAUUUAUAGUACUAUUUGAUUUAAUACUUCUACCAAAAUAAGUGUAUUAAGACAGGCAACAGGAAAGCCAGUAAACAGCACUAAUAAAUGUAGAUGCUUUAGGCAGGCAAAUACCAAGUAUUGUCUGUAUAUAGAAACUUUCAAAAAACCUUGUUUGAUUAGUGAAUCUGCUGAUGAUAACUUUUAUUGCUGUUUCUAAGGUCAUCAGACUAAACUACUAAUUUUCAGGGCAAGAAACAGCUACAGGAUUGUUUUGCUGUUGCUGUGCCUGUUGUACCAAAUAACUGAUGUAGACAAUCAUUACCUGAUAGCUGCUGCCUAAUAAGCAGUUGCUUGUUCUACUAGUAUCAUGUUGUACCACUGUAUUAAGCUUGUGGACACACUCUAGGCUUAAUCAUGUAAAUGCCAGUUUAUUGAAGGAGAGGGCUGGCUCCUGUCUUGUGAAGUCUAUUAUUAAUGCUUAAGAAUAUCUAUUAUGCUCAGUGGGGGUCAGAGUGCAAUAUGCAUUCCAUCUGGUGGUACUGUACAAGUAUACUGUUAAAGAUUGUAACCCUGAAAAUCAUGUUGAUAAAACUUGCAGAUGAAUUCCUGAGCAGCUUUCUGCUUCUCAAAAUGGGUGCAGAACUCCUCACUAUAGGGGAGUGAGGGCUAGGGGAAGAAGGAGAGGUGUACCCUCCAGUAAACAAGAACAUAUAAUGGAGUUUGAAGACUCUUGCUUUGUAGGUCCUACUUCUACAUAGUAAGACAGUCAUUGUUUGUGAGAUCCUCAGUGGUUUGUUUGGUUUUUUUCCUUCAAGCUGCUGUAAAUUAUUUUUUUCAGUUUGGUAACUAAGCUUUAGGCAGAUUAUUGCUGUAGUUGUGAGCUUCAAAGUUUUGUUCAGAUGUGUUGUGUGUUAGUUACGUAUGUUGGGUUAUCUCAGUUUAAUUGUUUUGAAGUUUGUGUUUUACCAACUGGACACCUUCUCACAGGAAGCACACUUGCACUUCUGCAGCAGAAACCUGCACUAAUCUUAGCUUCAUGCCACAAUCUCAGUGAGUAGGCAGGACUCUAGAAUUACUACUGCAACACAGAGUUACAGGCUUAGUGGAAAGCCUGAUUGCAAGUGUUACUGAUACACAGUAAUCAUGCAAAGGGACCAAGCACUGCUGCCUCCUAGUGUUAAGUACAUUACAUCAGUAAAGGUUUUAUUACUCUCAAUUUUAAUCUUACCAAUAUGUCCUAGAAUCAUAAUCUGAUUUUUUUACCUGCCUUUUAAGUAUAAAGCUAUAAAAAUAGUGACAACUGUUGUUCAGGCUACCUACUAGAGAUCUUAUAGCUUUUAAGUCUGGGAAUGCAAAGUAUGAUUAUGUUUUAUACACAGCAAAAUUACUGUAUUCCAACUUUUAAGUAAACCACAGGCUAGAACUUUCUAAAACUUCAGAACAGUGCCCAAAACUGAGGCAAACUAUUCCAGAGGAUGCCUUUAUUCAAUAUGAAAUUCUUUUAAUUUCCUUUUAUGCUGUGUUCUUCAAAUAGCUGCUGUAAAUAUGCUUAAGUUGCUUCUGAUGCUGUUUCAAUUCAGAAAUCCACCCUAGCUUUGAACAACAGUAUCAAAGCACUAGCUCAGUAGUGUUUAACAGCCUUAUUCAAUAAAAACUCAGCCUGUCCCUGUUGCCCACAGGCUUUGUAGGCUUUAUGUAACUACAGCAGAUGGGACUGUGCCCUCAGUGCAUUUUGUCAUAUUAAAGAGUUUCCUUGAUUUGGGUAGGGCAAGACUCAUCUUGCCAUGCUUUCAAAGACGGCUUCUACAGUUCUCUCUUCCCACAGAGAAUGGAGGAGCCAAGAUGACUAUGUGUCUGCCUGAAGUACCCAUUUUUGGUUAAGAUGGAUUUCCCAUUAGAUGUUGGUUUUCCAAUAAUUAUAGAAGGCUUAAAUGUCCUCUGCCUUGGAUACUGGGUACUAAACUGAAAACAUUUCAAACAACAGGCUUGUUCAGGUGUUCUACAGAACAUGAGACUCUUCAACAGCAUCAAGGCUGCUGUGUACUGAGGAAAUGAUCUAGUUUUUAUCCUUGUCUGGUCAAGAGCUGUUCCUCACAAAAACAAUCUGCUAGAAGACAGUAGUGACACUAAUUGGGUCAUGUGAGUCACUACCAUGCUUUUUCAAAUGGUCUGUAGCUAAAAAUUGUCCUGGGUGCUAUGUUGGUACUAUCUUGGUUUAAGUAAUAUAAUGGCUGAAGUGAGGGGUAAAUUAUUCUGCAAAUCAGGUAGCCUUCCUGCAUUUGGGCAUUAUUUGACUAAAAAAAUGCUAGUAGGUUUGCUUAGACUAUGUGAAAUAGUAUAGUUCUGAUCACUGCAAGUUGUAUAUGCAAAAUAUUUGGCAUGUGGCAGGCUAAAGUCUGGAAAACCAUUAUUUUAGUGUUUUGAUGUUAACUAAUGAAAAGCCAAUUGACUUGGAAAGCAGAACUUUUCAAGUGUAAAAGCUUUAACUAUGUUCUGUAGAUUCUAACAAGAGGUGGCUGUUUUGCAUCAAAUUAGACUCACUAAAAAAAUGGAAAACCUAGUGAAUGUCACCCUAUCAAUUAAGGAAGUUCUGAACUUUGUCUUGCAUGGACUCUUGAAUUCAGCCAAGUGAUGAACACUUCUCGGUCCUGUUUUAAAAGUAAAACUUUGUUUGCAAGAACACAGUAAAUAUUCAGUUGUCCAAAAUCUUCAUUAAAAUAACUGUUUAUUCCUUUUUGUUUCUGAAAGUACUUAGCUAAGUGAAAGAAGAUUUUUACAAUGUGUAAUGCUGCAAUUUAACUAUAGUGUUGUGAAGACUAGUGUUUACAAUGUAAAAUGUUACAAUGAAAACUGCAUAAGAAUGUCCCUGUACAAUACAGUAGCAUGCCUGUUCAGUCACUGCUGUCACAUCUUUGCAACUAUGAAUUACAGACUCUUUCACUGGAAGCUGAGAGAGAUAGUCAAGGUAAUAGCUAAGCUUAGAGCCAAACUUAACAAAACUAAGGGGCAGACCUGAAUUUUUGGUAAGAAUUUUAUCCAGGUAGCAAAUGCACAUUUUAAUCAAGUUUUUAACAUAUAGGUGUGUGUAUCUGUUCUCAUUUUUAUUUUAUGGUAUAAUGCAGUGCCACUGAACUAUAAAGGCCUCACUGACUCUUUUGUUUUUGACUGUGAUAGGGACCAAAAGCUAGCAAACUGAGGGCCUCGUGUGGUAACCUGCAUGUUCCAGUUUAUUUUCCAGCUCAGUUAGUGCACUCAGCAGCAAAGCCAUAUGGAGCCUGACUCAACACCUUGACAGUAGCCCCUAUACCAUUAGGGGUACAAGUGAAUAGGAAGUUGCCUCAGCUAUUGUUAGCACUGAAUUCACUUUAAAAACCAUAGGGAAAUACCAUUUAAGCUUGAAGCAAUAUGUGUUUUUUAAAGUUUUUAAACAGUACUUGUUUUUAAUGCUUCUGUAUUGUCUGUAUUUAAUAGUGUAGUGUCAACUUGUAUAUGUGAAUAAAAUGAGUGACACAAA